ACUUAGUUGGUAAAGCACAAGGCUCUAAACCUUGUGGACGUGGAUUCAAGUCCCAU
rnacentral:tRNA from 1 species